CGAAAGCCUGACGGAGCAACGCCGCGUGUGGGAAGAAGGCCUUUGGGCUGUCGACCACUUUUCUCAGGGAAGAAGUUCUGACGGUACCUGAGGAAUCAGCCUCGGCUAACUCCGUGCCAGCAGCCGCGGUAAUACGGAGGAGGCAAGCGUUAUUCGGAAUUACUGGGCGUAAAGCGUUCGUAGGGGGCUCGUCAAGUCUGCUGUCAAAGACCGGAGCUCAACUCCGGGCAGGCAGUGGAAACUGGGGAGCUAGAGGGCGACAGGGGUAGAGGGAAUUCCCAGUGUAGCGGUGAAAUGCGUAGAGAUUGGGAAGAACACCGGUGGCGAAAGCGCUCUACUGGGUCGCGCCUGACCCUCAGGGACGAAAGCUAAGGUAGCG
rnacentral:rRNA from 1 species